CCUACGGGGUGCAGCAGUGAGGAAUAUUGGUCAAUGGACGAGAGUCUGAACCAGCCAAGUAGCGUGAAGGAUGACUGCCCUAUGGGUUGUAAACUUCUUUUAUAUGGGAAUAAAAUGUUCCACGUGUGGGCUUUUGUAUGUACCAUAUGAAUAAGGAUCGGCUAACUCCGUGCCAGCAGCCGCGGUAAUACGGAGGAUCCGAGCGUUAUCCGGAUUUAUUGGGUUUAAAGGGAGCGUAGGUGGAUUGUUAAGUCAGUUGUGAAAGUUUGCGGCUCAACCGUAAAAUUGCAGUUGAAACUGGCAGUCUUGAGUACAGUAGAGGUGGGCGGAAUUCGUGGUGUAGCGGUGAAAUGCUUAGAUAUCACGAAGAACUCCGAUUGCGAAGGCAGCUCACUGGACUGCAACUGACACUGAGGCUCGAAAGUGUGGGUAUCAAACAGGAUUAGAUACCCUAGUAGUC
rnacentral:rRNA from 1 species